AGAGUUUGAUCCUGGCUCAGAACGAACGCUGGCGGCAGGCUUAACACAUGCAAGUCGAACGCAUCUCUUCGGAGGUGAGUGGCAGACGGGUGAGUAACGCGUGGGAACGUACCCUUCAGUUCGGAAUAACCCAGGGAAACUUGGGCUAAUACCGGAUACGUCCGUAAGGAGAAAGAUUUAUCGCUGAAGGAUCGGCCCGCGUCGGAUUAGCUAGUUGGUGUGGUAACGGCGCACCAAGGCAACGAUCCGUAGCUGGUCUGAGAGGAUGAUCAGCCACACUGGGACUGAGACACGGCCCAGACUCCUACGGGAGGCAGCAGUGGGGAAUAUUGGUCAAUGGGCGCAAGCCUGAACCAGCCAUGCCGCGUGAGUGAAGAAGGCCUUAGGGUUGUAAAGCUCUUUCAGCGGGGACGAUAAUGACGGUACCCGCAGAAGAAGCCCCGGCUAACUUCGUGCCAGCAGCCGCGGUAAUACGAAGGGGGCUAGCGUUGUUCGGAAUUACUGGGCGUAAAGCGCGCGUAGGCGGGCAUUUAAGUCAGGGGUGAAAUCCCAGGGCUCAACCCUGGAACUGCCUUUGAUACUGGAUGCCUGGAGUUCGGGAGAGGUGAGUGGAAUUCCGAGUGUAGAGGUGAAAUUCGUAGAUAUUCGGAGGAACACCAGAAGCGAAGGCGGCUCACUGGCCCGAUACUGAGCUGANNNGCGAAAGCGUGGGGAGCAAACAGGAUUAGAUACCCUAGUAGUCC
rnacentral:rRNA from 1 species